rnacentral:misc_RNA from 1 species
AAAAAAAAAAAAAAGCUAGAUGGGAAGCUAGUAUACACUUCGUCUCUCCAAAAUCUCUAGUCGAGAAAUUUAUGAGCCAGGACUCGUCAAUGAGCCACUUAACCACAAAAUUAAAUGUACAGAAACUUGGACUGCGUGGACUAAGAAAAAAAAAAACUCCUCAUUUACAAUCACAAGAAUUGGCUUCCUAAUUGAAAAGUUCCAAGUCCAUAUUCUUGUGCCCAUCAAAGCGUCAACUUGAAGAAAAAAUACGACUAGGUCAUUUCAUUUGGACUACUGUUACUUAUUCUUUGGUCUCCUUUGAACCUUCAUCGAUCUUCACUGCAUUUGAGUUAGUCUCAGAUCGUUGAUCAGAAGCCAGUGACGGCUGCCCUGGAGAAGUGUCUGGAUUGAUCGGCUUCUUGAACUGCACUAUGAUCAUG